rnacentral:rRNA from 1 species
UACGUAGGGAGCGAGCGUUGUCCGGAAUUACUGGGUGUAAAGGGAGUGUAGGCGGGAAGACAAGUUGGAUGUGAAAGCUAUCGGCUCAACCGGUAGACUGCAUUCAAAACUGUUUUUCUUGAGUGAAGUAGAGGCAGGCGGAAUUCCUAGUGUAGCGGUGAAAUGCGUAGAUAUUAGGAGGAACACCAGUGGCGAAGGCGGCCUGCUGGGCUUUUACUGACGCUGAGGCUCGAAAGUGUGGGUAGCAAACAGGAUUAGAUACCCUGGUAGUCCACACUGUAAACGAUGAUUACUAGGUGUGGGGGGUCUGACCCCUUCCGUGCCGGAGUUAACACAAUAAGUAAUCCACCUGGGGAGUACGGCCGCAAGGUUGAA